rnacentral:rRNA from 1 species
UGGUGGAGUGAUUUGUCUGCUUAAUUGCGAUAACGAACGAGACCUUAACCUGCUAAAUAGCCCGGCCCGCUUUGGCGGACCGCUGGCUUCUUAGAGGGACUAUCGGCUCAAGCCGAUGGAAGUUUGAGGCAAUAACA